UGUCUAGGGCUACACACGUACUACAAUGGCCGGUACAAAGGGCAGCCACUCAGCGAUGAGGCGCUAAUCCCAUAAAGCCGGUCUCAGUCCGGAUCGCAGUCUGCAACUCGACUCCAUGAAGUUGGAAUCGCUAGUAAUCGCGGAUCAGUACGCCGCGGUGAAUACGUUCCCGGGCCUU
rnacentral:rRNA from 1 species